AAAGUAGCUAGUCUUAAAAACAGAAUAUGAACCAGAUUCUUCUCAUUGGCAAAGAAAACAGUGGUUAACCAGAGGUGCAACCCAGUCCCCAAGUCCCCUUGAAUCAUUCAUCUGUAAUAUGGAACUCCUGACACUGGCUACUCACAGAAGACCGAGAUCCUCUGCACCCCCAAAGGAGCAAGAAUCCUAAAGCACUUUACAAGCUUUAUGAAGGAAUUACAAACUAUCUAGCGCACGUGGAGGCUCCAACCAAGAUAGGACUUCACUGGGCAAGGGACUGUACAAAUAUGUAAUGAGAGAGACUCUGUCCAAAGAACUUGCAACCUAAGUAGAAAAGACAAACUGGAGGAAACAGAGGUGCAAAAUAACCUAUCCAAAGUCUCACAGAAGGUCAAAUGAUAGAGCCAGGCUCAGAACCCACAUCUGCUGAGCACCAAUCCAGUGCCCAAUCCACUGGAGUACACAGGCUCUCAAUUAGUCAGAAUUGUGUACUCAUGUACCCUACAUUUCUCUCAUGGGUAACACUCCCAAUGAAAUCUCACUCCUGUUAAAGUUAAUUGGAAUUUAAUCCCCAGCAAGG